UAGUUAUUUUCUUUAAACCUAAAGAAUUUGGCGGUAAUUUAGUCUAUUCAGAGGAACCUGUCCCUUAAUCGAUAGUCCCCGUUUUAUCUAGCUUGAUUAAUUUGUAUUAUUUACAGUAUGUAUACCGCCGUUAUAAGUUUAUUUUAUUAGGUUAUUAAUUUACUUAUUAUAUUAUUAUAUUAUAUUUCAGGUCAAGGUGCAGCUUAUAUUUAAGUGGAGAUGGGUUACAUUAUUUGAUUGAAUAAACGGAUAUUAUAUUUAAAAUAUUUUUGAAGGUGGAUUUGAUAGUAAAUAUUUUUAUAGUAAUAUUUUGAUUUUAGCUCUAAAUUAAGUACACAUCGCCCGUCGCUCUA
rnacentral:rRNA from 1 species